rnacentral:rRNA from 1 species
AGAGUUUGAUCAUGGCUCAGGAUGAACGCUGGCGGCGUGCCUAACACAUGCAAGUCGAACGAAGCACAUGCCUGGAACCCUCCGGGGGGAAGGGCAUAUGACUGAGUGGCGGACGGGUGAGUAACGCGUGGGCAACCUGCCCCGCACUGGGGGACAACAGCCGGAAACGGCUGCUAAUACCGCAUAUGCGCACAGCUUUGCAUGAAGCAGUGUGGAAAACUCCGGUGGUGCGGGAUGGGCCCGCGUCUGAUUAGCUGGUUGGCGGGGCAACGGCCCACCAAGGCGACGAUCAGUAGCCGGCCUGAGAGGGUGGACGGCCACAUUGGGACUGAGACACGGCCCAGACUCCUACGGGAGGCAGCAGUGGGGGAUAUUGCACAAUGGGGGGAACCCUGAUGCAGCGACGCCGCGUGAGCGAAGAAGUACCUCGGUAUGUAAAGCUCUAUCAGCAGGGAAAAAAAUGACGGUACCUGACUA